rnacentral:tRNA from 1 species
UUUGGUGUAGUGGAUGAGACACGGGAUUUCCAAUCCCGCGUUCCGGGUUCGAGUCUCG